GGGGCCUGUAGCUCACCGGUUAGAGCACAUGACCUAAAAAGCAUGAUGUAGGGGGUUCGAUUCCCUCCGGCUCCA
rnacentral:tRNA from 1 species